rnacentral:lncRNA from 1 species
UGCGGACAUAAUCCAAAAAAAUGAUGCAUUAUACAAAAGGAUAUCCAAAACUAAUCAGCUUUGAGAUGCGAAAAAUUCCAGACACUCUGGGUUACCAAAAUGUAACAAGAUACUAGAAUGUGCAUCCUUAAGUUCCCAUAAAUAUCAGACAGAUAAAGAAACUGGGAACAGUUAACUAACAACUAACAACAAGAUCUUAAGUCCACGUUAAUGUGAUCAAUGAAAGUGUACAGAUAAAUACAAUACAAUUUCUUUAAAAUAAAUGUGACCCUUGACACAAGGUGAAGUACCAUGCCACUUGAUUGCUUGUGGAGAUGUCAAGGGGAUUCUUUAAUAGUUCACUCCAAGAGAUAACUCACGUACAAUCCAACCAAAAGGCAACAAGUAAAGCACCUGUUAGUCUUGAAACUCUCAAAUCCAUAGAUAUCCAGCACGCCAAUCAAAGAUUUAGAAUUGGGAUCUUGACCAAUUGAACUAUUAAUCUUAUCAACCAGCCUGCAAACAAAUGUUGAAGGGUCUGAAUAAACUGACAAUUUAUUUUUGUAGAAGUAAAGCAUACUACAAGCAAAGAAGAUAGAAGGGUCUGAAUAAACUGACAAUUUAUUCGUGUAGAAGUAAAGAAUACUACAAGCAAAGAAGAUAACUGAACCUGUCAUGUAACUCCUGUCCAGACACAAAACUAAAUCUUACCAGUCAAACAAUCUUGAGUACAC